CCCCCCCCGGCGCCUUCGCGGACCCGGGAUCUGCCUCCGGGCGCAGCCGUCAACAUCCCAGGGCGGCGCGAGGCAGAGAGCGCGAGCGCGGCCGGGGCGGCAGCAGCGCGCGCGAGCUGGAGGGCAAGGAGCGGAAAGGCGGGGCCACGGCCAGAGAGAGGGGGCGGGCAGAAGGGGGGGGGAGGAGGAGUCGGCGAGGAGGAGCGCGACAGAGGCUGCGCACGAAUGGAUGGGGAAGGGAGACCGCGAAGCGCGGGAGUGCCGCGCGCGAGGCGAGAGAAAACCGUACCGGGGGGGAGGGGGAGGGAGAGGAAGAGAAUGACGUGGGAAAGGAUGAGACGCAGCUGAGGCACUAGAGGAUCCAGGCCUGAAGCCGCGGGCGAAUCAGAAGAGGCGCGAGGAUAAAUGAAUGAACGUCUCUCUGUCCCCGCCCACCUCAAGAUAGAGGGCGGAGCUAGCAGAGGGGCGGGGGUAUAGAGGGAGGGAAAGACUGGAGGAGGAGGAGCCAAUCUCUGCUUUGCCCUCUCAAUCAGGCACAACCUGUCACAGAGCGACAGGUACUUCCACAGGGCGGGGUCAGACUCGUUGUCUAAGCCAAUCAGAGUAGGCGUGGCGGGGAGGAGGGAAAGCAGCGGCUUUAACCAACAGCUACCCAUGAAAAAGGGGCAGUGCGAAGUGGAAGCAUGUGAUUGGCGGUUGUUUCCACCAAUUAAAUUAAGUGGAGAGGGGUGGCGGCGACGUCAUUUAUCGGUCGCGUGACAGUAAUGAGGCAGUUAGGGGCUAGGAGAGGCUGGUUACUGGUAAUUUUGUGCUGGGAGCUACCGGCUUUUUGUUGGCAGUUCGCGUUGCGGCUGGGGGCGCGGCUUGUUCCGAGGAUCGGCGGAGCGUGGCAUGCUGGGAGUUGUAGUCUCGGUCUGGCGGAGCGUUGAGCCGCUUGUCUGGGUUCGCGCGGCCCGGCUAUAGGCUGCGAGUGCUGAGGAGGCGCGCGUCGUAGGGCGAAGCUGAUGCAACCUGGUGCUUGCCCGAGGGGGCCUCAGCACGGCAGGAGCAGCCAGGAGUUGUUUCCCCUUAUGUGUGAGGCCAGGGCCUGGCCCUCAGAGCAGCGUGUCCCCUGGGGCUAGGAUGCUGCUAGCCCGCCUGCCUCAGUGGCUGCAGAGAGGGGGCGCUUGGGGCUUAGGCUUAUGCCUCUCUCCACCCCAGUUGGCAGCUGGCUGGGGUGUGCUGCCAGUCACUGACCCAAGCUGCAAAUCCUGUGUAUAAUGGAAACGUCUUCAAGCCAAGGCGUGUGGCAACUUGGUUCCUAGCGACUGCGCAAAUGGCAGCUGGGAUACAUAUUAUGCCCUGAUUUCCUCUGGCAGGAGGGUUGCAGAGGGAGGUAACUCCAGGCCUGGUUUAGUCCCAGCCUCACCUGCUUGGAGAUUUGUUCUACUGUGUGUAGGCUUUUAAACUGUGCUGUGCUCUGCCAGCUCCUGGCUGGGUGCCUUCCAGCAGUGUAUUCAGUAACCUGAUCAGUCUGUCACGUGUUCUUUAUCCUUCCCUGAGGGGAGGAGGAAAUGCAUUGGCAGUUCCUGCUGUGUGCCAGGUGCCCGUGAGGGAAUGAACAGAUCAAGAAAUCAUCAAGAGAUCCAACCCCUGUUGUCUAUGCCUAGCUUCUGACAAACAGCGGCUACAGAUACUGUGCCUGCCCAUCCUGGCUAAUAGCGCAGCUUGCUUCAGAAGAACCAUUUCUCCAGUUUAUUCAGAUGAUUUUGAAUGAUGAUCCUGUCCUCCAAAGCACUUGCAGCCCCUCCCAGCUUGGUGUUGUCUGCAAACUUUGUAAGUGUACUCUCUAUGCCAUUAUCUAAAUAAUGGAUGAAGAACAGAAUUGGAUCCAGAAUUGAUCCUUGCAGGGCCCUACUUAUUUUGUCCUUCCAGUGUGACUGUAAAUCAUUAAUAACUACUGCCUGGGAAUGGUUUUCCAACCAGUUAUGCACCCAUCUUAUAGUAGCUCCAUCUAGGUUGUAUUUCCCUGGUUUGUUUUUUGAAGGUCAUGCGAGACAGUAUAAAAAAUAUUAACUCCUUACUAAAAUCAAGAUAUAGCUACUGCAUCUACUCCAAUACGCAACGCUUGUUACCCUAUCAAAGAACACAAUUUGUUCUUGACAAAUCCAUGCUGGCUGUUACUCUGUCCUCUAGAUAAGUGGUUUCCAACCUGUGGUCCACGAUGGUACUGCAGGGCGUCCAUGGAAAGUUUAAAAAUAAGGAUUGGGCUCACUGUCAUGGGCCCGAUCCUUUUCUUUUCCUUUUCCUUUUCCUUUUCUCCCCCACCCCCUUAGGGAGCGGGAGGGUCCAUCAAAUUUUAAUAUAUUGAAAAGUGGUCCAUAUGCUUGAAAAGGCUGGGAACUACUGUUCUAGAUGUUUGCAAAUUGAUUGCUUAAUUACUGCUCCAUUAUCUUUCUGGUACAGAAGUUAUUCCUGGUUAUUUUUAUUUCCAUUUUUUUGAUGGGCACUAGAUUCAAUUCUUCUGGAAUCUCUCCCAGAACAUGUUGCAAUUGGUAUCAUGGCAGAGUUGUUAAAGUUGGAGAAUUUCGUAGGUUGUGUUUCGGUAAAUAGUCAGGAAAAUGUAAAAUCAACUCAUUCUUCAGCUGAUCAACAGUGCAUCUUUGAUAUUGAUGUUAUGGAUGACAUAAUGGCAAACAAAAUUCAUCUUGGAGAAAGCAGACGAGCAGGUUUCUUUUUGCAUUUAAAUUGAUCACAAAAGGAAAAAAUUAAAUUGGGCUGUUUAGAGUAGAAGGUGCUGUAGUCUAGUCUGCUAUAUAGUCAAGGAGAAGUAUUGGCUUGACCUGGACUAGCUGGAUACUUUUAUACAAAUGCCCAAAUUCCUAUUGUCCUGUAAGAAAAACCUUUAGUACUCUUAACUUUAUAAUCUUAUACUUUGACAUAUUUUUCAGGUGACUAGAGCAACUGAUGUAACAGUACAUUGUAUGAAGAAAACAAUGAUAGCGUACUGAAUACUAUGGUGCUUAUAAAUGAACUUAGGAAAAAUGGGAUUUCUGCCAAGGUGAAGAGCUCAGUCAUCUUUAAAAUAUGGACAUAUUUGAUCAAAGUCCAACAAUUCUGAAUUAUUUUGGCUGAUAAAUUUUGGCAAGUUGUUUAGCUGAAGAAAAUACUACCAUAGUAAUAUUGUUGUUGUCUUUAGUGCAUUAACAAAGUCAUGUGGAAAAAUUCUGAAGUUAACGUAGUGUAAUAUCAGCAAAGAAUUCCACAUGCUUGAAACAUUACCUUUCCAAACUCUAUGCAGCUUUGUCCUUAUGCAUGGUGUAGCCUAAAUAUACCUAGCCUAUUGUGUUCAGAAUAUUUGUUACCAAUAACUCAGACUAUAUAGUGUCAUCUUUAUUUGUAUUUUCGAAGUUCCUUUCUAAUAUAUUACCAAGCAACUGCUACACGGAAUGAAUCAACUAACUGCAUCAGAAUUGCAAAAGAAUUUGUGAUGUUUGUUGUGGAGUAUACCUAGAAAGAACCACAAUGUAAUACAAAGCCAGAGUUUCUGGGUACUUGGAGGAUGGUGUAAUUUCAUCCUGUUGCCAUAAAUAGAUUUCAAGUGUCAUUCUUGAAUUCAGCAAUGACAUUAAAUUGUUGAUGUGAAUUUUGUAGACACUGCAACAGCAUCAACUGAUUUUAAGGACUCUUAGCACAAAGACUGAGUUACAUCAUGAAAGUUACUAAGAACUGUGUACUGGCUCAAUCUGCUCAUGGAGUGAUGGUGGCAUGUGGCUCUAAAAUAUUCUGUAAUGCCUGAUGAUUCCUCAAUUUAUAGGCGUUAUCUUAUAUAAAGGACUAAAAAAUUACAUCUAUUCUACAUAAACCUGCUGGUAUCUCAACUUUUAUUGUUGUAAAUUAUUUAUCUCCGAGAAAUUGAAUCUUUCUUAUAAAAUGUCUUGCUGUGCGAAAGUUAAUCCAUAAUUUUAAAGCUUGCUGCUAUAUCUGUCACUUUCUUUCUUGAGGAUUUCUGUACUUGAACCUUCAGAGACUGAGAUACAUACCCACAAUAAAUAAAAACAAUGAGAUAUCUGUCGCACUUUAAAGAAUAACAAAUGUAUUAGGGCAUAGGCAUGUAUUAGUGCUGAAGGCCACAGAAGCUUAUGCCUUAAUACAUUUGUUAUUCUUUAAAGCUAUGUCUACACUACAGUGCUAUUUUGGGAUUCCAGAGGUAGCCCAAAAUAGCUAUUCCGCGUCUCUUAAGUAUGCACGUUAUUUUGAAAUAUAACGGGGUCGCUAUUCCAAUGUCUGUGUAACUUAUUGUGGAAUGAGGUUAAGGGACAUUUUGGAAUAGCGAAUUUAUUUCAAAAUAAGUACUGUAUAGACCAUACUGAAUUUCGAAUAACCGACGCAAUUUGCAUAGCUUAUUUCGAGCUACAGGUGCACUGUAGACACACCCUAAGGUGCCAUAGGACUCUUUGCUGUUUUUGCUGAAACAGACUAAUCCAGCUAAUUCUCUGAUGCCAAUAAAUGUUAACUACUGUAAAUUAGCGUAUAUAACCCACGUCCAUGUAUAAUACACACUCAUAUAUUACCUGCAGUUUUUCUUUCAUAUGUUUAAAAAAAAAAUCCUAGAUUACCUGCAGAUGUACAUAACCCACAGGUAAUGAACCUCAACUGAGGCCGCUGAGCAAUAAGUAUUACCCUAUUACCAGUAUAUAAGCCCUACGAACCACACUGUUUUAAAACCUCUUCAUUUUAUAACAAAGUAUUUUUAAGGAUGCCUAAGCGCAAAUCAUAUACAUCCGAUUUUAAAUUAUUUGUUCCGACAUAUGCAAAAGAAAAUGGCAGUAGCGCAGCAGGGAGAAAAUUUUCCAUCAACGAAAAGUCUGUUCGGGAGUGGAGAAAAGAAGAAGCAGAGAUUGAGAAAUUAAAUCCUCAGAAAAGAGCACACUGAGGAAAGAAAACCAAGUGGCCGAAACUAGAAGAAAACCUGGUGAAGUGGGUUCUUGCACGGAGAGAGAGCCAACGUGUGGUAUCAUGUUGGUCUUGUCGUCUUUAAAUUUGAGUAAAAAUCAGCUUGUAUAAGACGCAGACAUGUAUACCCUGCGGGGGGUGGGGAGGGCGGGUUGUAAAAACAUGUAUAACCCACAGGUUAUAUUCACUAAUUCACAGUACUUUUUAAACAGUUUUUGAAGCUUCAUCUAAUACCUCAGUUCAGUUCACCAAAUUGCCUCGUUCCCAAAAGAAAACUGCCACAAUUUGAGGAGACAGAAAAGGUUAUGCUUUUUCUGGUGUGGCUUAUGAUUAUAACUGGGUUCUCAGAACUACCCAGGAAGUGUCCUAUAUUGUGUAGGUUAAAGCAGAUUCAUGCGAUUGGAUCCAAUGUCAUAAGAGGCUUUUGUAACUUUUCACAGAAAAGGCUUGUACUUGACGGGUUUCUAACUGUGUUGAGAACAAUAUCUAGAAAAGGUAAUGAGAGUCACAGGGAACAAAAUGUAAUCACAAGUACUAAUUGUAACUUGAUUGAAACAAAAUUCCAAUUCCGUAUUUAAUUGUCAUUAUAAAAGAGACUUACAUCAAGUGACUUAUUUCCACUUUAAUUUCCAAGUCAACUACUAGUCUGUUGAGAUGCCUGGACUUGAGCAUUUGCAUUAUAUCUUUUUGCUGACUAGCAAGAGCGUGUUACUUUACCUGAUCUUUUGGCUUUAAGCACACUA